ACCCUGCAUAAUAUCGCAUCUCACAAGCCAAUCUGGUCGAACCACAAUAUGUAAUCAAGUCACAAAGCCAAUCAAGCCACAUAACUGUAGUGGUCAGACAGAUCAGCUAAGGAACAAUAUGCAUCAGCCAAAUUGUUCAUCAGCGUACAGAUCAAUACAUCAUAUAUUUAAAUCAAGCAAACUAACACCAGAAUAAAAAUGCUCCCAAGUUCAUUGCUCAUAUGCAUUUACCAAAAAAAUGUGACUGUGCACAGCUUACAUCCAUGAUCCAGAAAGUUGAGGGUUGGAAGGGAGGAAUGAGAGAAAUAGGACCUUCGCCCCAAGCAUCAUAGACCCAGUCUUUGAAUGAUAAUUUGCCUGAUUAACAUGCCCUGUUGCAUGCACUGCCAGCCUCUGAUCUCCCCGCAGGGCCCGGGAUCUCUGAAUAACACGGUAUAUAAUAUAGUGAGUAGAUACCAACAAACAUACCCACAUAUACACACAUGAAUGAUUACACAGAAAGAAAUAUUGCAUAGAAGGUCAUGAUUCACACGAACUACGUCUUUCAUCCAAGAUAGCCUGACUGUAAUAUUAGGACGAUAUGAAAUAUUAAGAUGCCUGAAAUAAAGCUUUCUCUAUUCGUAAUAAUAUUUCUCCCAGAAAUAUUACAGUCAGGCUAUCUUGGAAUAAUUACAUGACAAGGGGCAUCAACACAUCAUUAUACCAAAAUAAAGGAGAAAAAAAGAAGAUUAGGAAAAGUUUAUGUUCGAGUAAUUACUACCUGAAAUAUCAUCAUAGUAAUUUCGGUUGUCCCUUGAUGCUCAACUAUUGCCAUUCUACAAUUGAUGCAUGACCAAAGAUCCCUUGCCAACAGAACCGAGAGCAAACCUGAAAAAUGACAAAAGCAUUGGCAGUACUUCCAGCAACAUAAAUCACACUAUUAUUGCAUACCCUGUUAUAACUUUCAGACUGCUCUCCCAUACGUGACUAAUUCAGUCAAUUAGAUGGGAACUUAAGUAAAUAAAAAACAUGACCUAGCAGACUGUAGAACCUGAAUUAAUAUUACGACAAAACUAAAUGCAAAAUGACUGGCUACUUAGCAUGGAAGAAUGCUUUCACCAGGCAGAGCUAGCUAUAGCCAAGUUGCAUUGGAUACAAAUGCUACAUCAUACUUCUUAAUACAAUGAACAUUUGACAAGCAACUAAAUUCUAACAACCAGUAUGAAUCAGUGACAUGGUACAAAUAACAAGUUGAUCCAUAUAUACGGACCUGAAAUUGUACUGUUGUAGACGUAGGAGGUAGCGACAUAAGCACAAUCUGAUUUGUGUUUCGUCCCUGAAUUAGAUGAUUCACUCCAGCACUCGAUUUUUUUCCUUGAACACGAAAAGAAGGAAAAAAGAGCAUUAGAAACCAGCAUAUGUAGGCCUAAAAAGAGUAUUAGAACAAUUUUCCUAAAAAAAUUGCAGGUUGCAUUGGAAGAGAGACACGGUAUAUCCCACAUUGCAAUGAACAGUUGAACAAGAUUCAGGAAAAGGCCAAGACAAAGCUGGAAGUAAAUUUGAUCCUAAGCAAGCAUCCACAUCUUGAAGCCAUAAUGGGGCGCCAGCAUAUAAUGUAGGCCAAUAUGAAAAGAAGAUUCAUCCUGAAGCCAUAAUGGGGCACCAACAUACAACAAGACACAUGAAGUAAACCUAAUUGUAAGAGCAAGCUUGCACAACCAUCUGUCCAACAAUCCCCUUCCUUAGAACCUACCUAGACCAUAUAACAUGCCACAAGUGUGCACCUAAUUUGGUACCACCCACCAACAUUAACCUAAGGCUGAAUAGUGGAGUCUGCAAUGACACCAAACCUGAGAUCUCUAAAAUUAUUUUAUCCUUAAUCUUGAACCAGAUCCACUUAGUUUAUCCAAAAAACAAUUGGCAAGAGCCACACUAACCAUCAUAGCACAGACUCGAGAUUCGUGCUUUACACUCUAGGAUAGGAAAAAAGAAAUACCAACCAAAGAACAUAGGACAGAAAUAUAUCCUUCCAAGGAUGUAGCUAGAUCCAAGCUCCUCCUGGACAGAAAGAAACAAAAGUUUGUCCCUUUCUUGACAGAGAAAUAGAACCAGGAAGACAACAAAAAACUACUUUGGAUGAAUCGUGCUAGAUCCAAGGCUAGGACUGAACCGACCUACUGCUACUACGCCUUGCAGCCAUUCAUCUACGUUCAAUACAAGUAACAUGCAGCCAAGCAUGCAUUAAACACUUUGACUGGAGGAAGUGCAAACUAACAUAGGAAGUAUAUCAGAAUAUGAGAGCAGAUGACAAAUAUUAUCCCUUAUGCUGAUAGGAUACAAAAUCCAAAAUAGGUAAACAUAUAUUGUUUUCGCGAUUUAUGAAAAUUAAAGCGCACACUGACCAAACAAUUAACACCAGUGGCCAUUGGCACAUGAAACAUAGAGCUGGAAGGCAAUAAGCAUUCAGGUAUAACAAUAAGAGAAGCACAAAUGCCAAAUAGAUGUUUAGCGGAUGUUCGAGCCCUGCUGCUUGGCACUUUGUGAUAAAUUGCAAUCAAAUUGGCUAGAUAAGAUAGAUGUGCAGGGGUAGGAAGAGAGGGUGGAGCUCACCACGUUCAGGGGGAGUAGGAGGAGGGACGAGCCAUGAGGGAUCGUGCCUCGUCCACCUGCAGCAGUUGCUGCUCAUCCAGAUCGGAACCGACCUUGUCCACCAGAGGAGCAGGGACGCGUGCGUGCACCUGCGUGACCAAAAGCAGCAACAUCGUGAGGGAAGGGGAGGGGAUUAGGGUUGGAGCAGGGGGGAGGGUGGCAUCCCGAGCAGGCCAUUGCGUGGGCCCGGAGCAGGCAGAGCACAAGCACUCGGAGGCCAAGGUCGGACGACAUCGCCGGCGAAUCUGUGAGCACCUUGGCCGCCGCCUGCCCUGCUCCCUCUCCUUCUUCUCUUCCCUUCCCUUCCCUUCUGAUGACGAGAGGGGGAGGCUGCGGGCGGCGUGGUGCGAGGGAGACGAG
rnacentral:lncRNA from 1 species